rnacentral:rRNA from 1 species
UACGUAGGGUGCGAGCGUUGUCCGGGAAUUAUUGGGCGUAAAGAGCUCGUAGGCGCUCGUCACGUCGGCUGAUGGAAAACCCGGGGCUCAACCCCGGGCCUGCAGUCGAUACGGGGCGAGCUAGAGUUCGGCAGGGGGAGACUGGAAUUCCUGGUGUAGCGGUGAAAUGCGCAGAUAUCAGGAGGAACACCGGUGGCGAAGGCGGGUCUCUGGGCCGACACUGACGCUGAGGAGCGAAAGCGUGGGGAGCGAACAGG